GACAGUUUGGAAUCGGGUAUAAAAGAGAGGCUGGCAGCUCCUCGCUCCUCAAUCCAUUGGGUCGGCUUCACCUCUUUGCUCCGUCUUGUGAAUUUGGGUUUAUCCACCCACUUUUGGAAACAUGUCCCAGUGCAAGCAAGGCUGCAAGGCACCCCCCACCAAAUGUCCCCCCAAAACUGCCCCGUGCUGCCCCCCAGCCGUGAAGUGUCCCCCCAAAACGGUCCCCUGCUGUCCUCCGGUUGUAAAGUGUCCCCCCCAAACCAAGCAACCUCCCAAGGGCUGCUGUUGAUGAUGUUCUUUCUCGGCCGCUGGAAAACCGAGGGGAGCUCCCCGCCAAAGCAAUUCCACAUUGAUCACCUGCCGGACCUCGCUGACGCCAUCGAAGCCAGUCCUCUCUGCACUCUGCUUUGACAUUUUGCUUUCUCCAAAAAUGUUUGGGUUUUGCUUCAUCCCAUCCUAUACAGCCCUGCUGCAUCACCCCAGCAUUUCAGGGAGUCUCGUUGACCAACUGAGCUCCUGUCUGGAAUCUCCUCCUUGAGACGUCAGGACCCUGCCAUGCUAAUGUGAAAAGCUCAAAAUACCAUGACAGGUUUCCUCACCCUCACAGGCAGGUGAAUGGCAAUAAAAUCAGCUAAUUUCCCAGCA